CUGGUAUACUCAAUUUACGACGAUUCGCACGAAGAAACACAAAAUCAUUGUUCCUAACCAAGGGAUAUUUCAGUCUAAUUGCCUCACCAAUUUUUGCUCGAAUGUUUGAUUUACUGUCUGUGGUCAUCAGAUUAACAAAUCCUCUAAGCAUGAUGUUAUUGCUGGUAAUCAUGUAUUUGUCGCACUCAUCUUCAUCGCCAUAGUUUGUCAAGGCAAACUCGAAAGGCUUCUGCUGAUCAUUGACAUUGUUCUUUUUCGGAUUUUUUGCUUCGCUACUACCAGUUG